CUACAGCUCAACUGUAGAACUGCCAUUGAUACUGUCGAUCUUGAGUACAGUUGAAGUGGGCGGAAUGUAUCAUGUAGCGGUGAAAUGCAUAGAUAUGAUACAGAACUCCGAUAGCGAAGGCAGCUCACUAAACUGUAACUGACGCUCAGGCACGAAAGCGUGGGGAGCAAACAGGAUUAGAUACCCUGGUAGUCCACGCCGUAAACGAUGAUCACUCGUUGUUGGCAAUACACCGUCAGCGACUGAACGAAAGCAUUAAGUGAUCCACCUGGGAAGUACGAUCGCAAGGUUGAAACUCAAAGGAAUUGACGGGGGCCCGCACAAGCGGAGGAGCAUGUGGUUUAAUUCGAUGAUACGCGAGGAACCUUACCUGGGCUUAAAUGCAAAACGAUCUCUCGGGAAACCGAGAUUCCCUUCGGGGCGGAUUGCAAGGUGCUGCAUGGUUGUCGUCAGCUCGUGCCGUGAGGUGUCGGGUUAAGUCCCAUAACGAGCGCAACCCCUAUUCUUAGUUGCCAUCAGGUAAUGCUGGGGACUCUAAGGAAACUGCCUACGCAAGUAGUGAGGAAGGUGGGGAUGACGUCAAAUCAGCACGGCCCUUAUGUCCAGGGCUACACACGUGCUACAAUGGUCGGUACAGAGGGUCGCUACCUGGUGACAGGAUGCUAAUCUCAAAAACCGAUCUCAGUUCGAAUCGAAGUCUGCAACUCGACUUCGUGAAGUUGGAUUCGCUAGUAAUCGCAUAUCAGCAAUGGUGCGGUGAAUACGUUCCCGGGCCUUGUACACACCGCCCGUCAAGCCAUGGAAGCUGGGGGUACCUGAAGUCCGUGACCGCAAGGAGCGGCCUAGGGUAAAACUAGUAACUAGGGCUAAGUCGUAACAAGGUAACC
rnacentral:rRNA from 1 species